UAGGGAAUAUUGCGCAAUGGGCGAAAGCCUGACGCAGCAACGCCGCGUGAGGGAUGACGGCCUUCGGGUUGUAAACCUCUGUUGAGUGGGAAGAAACUUUAUCGUGUUAAUAGCACGGUAAACUGACGGUACCGCUCGAGGAAGCCCCGGCGAACUACGUGCCAGCAGCCGCGGUAAUACGUAGGGGGCGAGCGUUGUUCGGAAUUACUGGGCGUAAAGCGAGUGUAGGCGGGAGAAUAAGUUAGGAGUGAAAUAUACGGGCUCAACCCGUAUCCCGCUCUUAAUACUGUUCUCCUUGAGUGUAGGAGAGGAAAGCGGAAUUCCGGGUGUAGCGGUGGAAUGCGUAGAUAUCCGGAAGAAUACCGAUGGCGAAGGCUGCUUUCUGGCCUACCACUGACGCUGAGGCUCUAAAGCUAGGGGAGCGAACA
rnacentral:rRNA from 1 species